rnacentral:rRNA from 1 species
AUUGAACGCUGGCGGCAGGCCUAACACAUGCAAGUAGAGCGAGCGGCGGACGGGUGAGUAAAGUCUGGGAAACUGCCUGAUGGAGGGGGAUAACAACUGGAAACGGUAGCUAAUACCGCAUACCAUCAGAUGUGCCCAGAUGGGAUUAGCGAGGAGGUGGGGUAACGGCCCACCUAGGCGACGAUCCCUAGCUGGUCUGAGAGGAUGACCAGCCAACCUGGAACUGAGACACGGUCCAGACGCAUACGGGAGGCAGGAGAGGGGAAUAUUGCACAAUGGGCACAGGCCUGAUGCAGCCAUGCCGCGUGGGUGAAGAAGGCCUUCGGGUUGUAAAGCACUUUCAGCGGGGAGGCGUUACCCGCAGAAGAAGCACCGGCUAACUCCGUGCCAGCAGCCGCGGUAAUUC